CGGCAAGUUGGAAGUGAAAUCUAUGGGCUCAACCCAUAAAUUGCUUUCAAAACAGCUGGCCUUGAGUAGUGCAGAGGUAGGCGGAAUUCCCGGUGUAGCGGUGGAAUGCGUAGAUAUCGGGAGGAACACCAGUGGCGAAGGCGGCCUGCUGGGCACCAACUGACGCUGAGGCUCGAAAGCAUGGGUAGCAAACAGGAUUAGAUACCCUGGUAGUCCAUGCCGUAAACGAUGAUUACUAGGUGUUGGAGGAUUGACCCCUUCAGUGCCGCAGUUAACACAAUAAGUAAUCCACCUGGGGAGUACGACCGCAAGGUUGAAACUCAAAGGAAUUGACGGGGGCCCGCACAAGCAGUGGAGUAUGUGGUUUAAUUCGAAGCAACGCGAAGAACCUUACCAGGUCUUGACAUCCGAUGCAUAGCACAGAGAUGUGUGAAGUCCUUCGGGACAUCGAGACAGGUGGUGCAUGGUUGUCGUCAGCUCGUGUCGUGAGAUGUUGGGUUAAGUCCCGCAACGAGCGCAACCCUUAUUGCCAGUUACUACGCAAGAGGACUCUGGCGAGACUGCCGUUGACAAAACGGAGGAAGGUGGGGAUGACGUCAAAUCAUCAUGCCCUUUAUGACCUGGGCUACACACGUACUACAAUGGCGUUUAACAAAGAGAAGCAAUACCGCGAGGUGGAGCAAAACUCAAAAACAACGUCUCAGUUCAGAUUGCAGGCUGCAACUCGCCUGCAUGAAGUCGGAAUUGCUAGUAAUCGCGGAUCAGCAUGCCGCGGUGAAUACGUUCCCGGGCCUUGUACACACCGCCCGUCACACCAUGAGAGCCGGGGGGACCCGAAGUCCGUAGUCUAACCGUAAGGAGGACGCGGCCGAAGGUAAAACUGGUGAUUGGGGUGAAGUCGUAACAAGGUAACCA
rnacentral:rRNA from 1 species